rnacentral:rRNA from 1 species
AUUGAACGCUGGCGGAAUGCUUUACACAUGCAAGUCGAGCGGCAGCGCGGGGGCAACCUUGGCGGCGAGCGGCGAACGGGUGAGUAAUACAUCGGAACGUAUCCUAGAGUGGGGGAUAGCUCGGCGAAAGCCGGAUUAAUACCGCAUAAGCUCUGAGGAGGAAAGCGGGGGACCGUAAGGCCUCGCGCUGCAGGAGCGGCCGAUGUCGGAUUAGCUAGUUGGUGAGGUAAAGGCUCACCAAGGCGACGAUCCGUAGCUGGUCUGAGAGGAUGAUCAGCCACACUGGGACUGAGACACGGCCCAGACUCCUACGGGAGGCAG